rnacentral:rRNA from 1 species
GUUAGGAAUAUUGGACAAUGGGCGCAAGCCUGAUCCAGCCAUGCCGCGUGAGUGAUGAAGGCCCUAGGGUUGUAAAGCUCUUUCACCGGAGAAGAUAAUGACGGUAUCCGGAGAAGAAGCCCCGGCUAACUUCGUGCCAGCAGCCGCGGUAAUACGAAGGGGGCUAGCGUUGUUCGGAAUUACUGGGCGUAAAGCGCACGUAGGCGGACAUUUAAGUCAGGGGUGAAAUCCCGGGGCUCAACCCCGGAACUGCCGUUGAUACUGGGUGUCUGGAGUAUGGAAGAGGUAAGUGGAAUUCCGAGUGUAGAGGUGAAAUUCGUAGAUAUUCGGAGGAACACCAGUGGCGAAGGCGGCUUACUGGUCCAUUACUGACGCUGAGGUGCGAAAGCGUGGGGAGCAAACAGGAUUAGAUACCCUUGUAGUCC